GAAAUGGUUCCGUGGAGGUUUCUUCGUGAAAACUAAAAAAGCUACGAACACUCCAUACGGUCAUUUGAGUCUCAACCUUGCCAUCGAGGAGGGAUACAAUAAAACUUGGUUCAGAGGAAAGUGUCUGUGGAUAUUUUGAAAGUUCUACCGUUCUCGUUUUUUAUUUUGUUUAUUAAUAAAUUUGUGUUGAAAAAU
ensembl:lincRNA linc-12 ncRNA